GCCCUUAUGGCUCAGGGGUAGAGCGUCGCACUCGUAAUGCGAAGGUCCAUAGUUCAAAUCUGUGUGAGGGCA
rfam:Trichoderma reesei QM6a unplaced genomic scaffold TRIREscaffold_23, whole genome shotgun sequence.